AUGAACGCUGGCGGCGUGCCUAAUACAUGCAAGUCGAGCGAACAGAUGAGGAGCUUGCUCCUCUGACGUUAGCGGCGGACGGGUGAGUAACACGUGGAUAACCUACCUAUAAGACUGGGAUAACUUCGGGAAACCGGAGCUAAUACCGGAUAAUAUAUUGAACCGCAUGGUUCAAUAGUGAAAGACGGUUUUGUUGUCACUUAUUGAUGGAUCCGCGCCGCAUUAGUUAGUUGGUAAGGUAACGGCUUACCAAGGCGACGAUGCGUAGCCGACCUGAGAGGGUGAUCGGCCACACUGGAACUGAGACACGGUCCAGACUCCUACGGGAGGCAGAAGUAGGGAAUCUUCCGCAAUGGGCGAAAGCCUGACGGAGCAACGCCGCGUGAGUGAUGAAGGUCUUCGGAUCGUAAAACUCUGUUAUUAGGGAAGAACAAAUGUGUAAGUAACUAUGCACGUCUUGACGGUACCUAAUCAGAAAGCCACGGCUAACUACGU
rnacentral:rRNA from 1 species